rnacentral:rRNA from 1 species
AUUGAACGCUGGCGGCAGGCCUAACACAUGCAAGUCGAGCGGUAGCACAGAGAGCUUGCUCUCGGGUGACGAGCGGCGGAACGGGUGAGUAAUGUCUGGGAAACUGCCUGAUGGAGGGGGAUAACUACUGGAAACGGUAGCUAAUACCGCAUAACGUCGCAAGACCAAAGUGGGGGACCUUCGGGCCUCAUGCCAUCAGAUGUGCCCAGAUGGGAUUAGCUAGUAGGUGGGGUAACGGCUCACCUAGGCGACGAUCCCUAGCUGGUCUGAGAGGAUGACCAGCCACACUGGAACUGAGACACGGUCCAGACUCCUACGGGAGGCAGCAGUGGGGAAUAUUGCACAAUGGGCGCAAGCCUGAUGCAGCCAUGCCGCGUGUGUGAAGAAGGCCUUCGGGUUGUAAAGCACUUUCAGCGGGGAGGAAGGCGUUAAGGUUAAUAACCUUGGCGAUUGACGUUACCCGCAGAAGAAGCACCGGCCAACUCCGUGCCAGCAGCCGCGGUAAUACGGAGGGUGCAAGCGUUAAUCGGAAUUACUGGGCGUAAAGCGCACGCAGGCGGUCUGUCAAGUCGGAUGUGAAAUCCCCGGGCUCAACCUGGGAACUGCAUUCGAAACUGGCAGGCUAGAGUCUUGUAGAGGGGGGUAGAAUUCCAGGUGUAGCGGUGAAAUGCGUAGAGAUCUGGAGGAAUACCGGUGGCGAAGGCGGCCCCCUGGACAAAGACUGACGCUCAGGUGCGAAAGCGUGGGGAGCAAACAGGAUUAGAUACCCUGGUAGUCCACGCCGUAAACGAUGUCGAUUUGGAGGUUGUGCCCUUGAGGCGUGGCUUCCGGAGCUAACGCGUUAAAUCGACCGCCUGGGGAGUACGGCCGCAAGGUUAAAACUCAAAUGAAUUGACGGGGGCCCGCACAAGCGGUGGAGCAUGUGGUUUAAUUCGAUGCAACGCGAAGAACCUUACCUGGUCUUGACAUCCACAGAACUUUCCAGAGAUGGAUUGGUGCCUUCGGGAACUGUGAGACAGGUGCUGCAUGGCUGUCGUCAGCUCGUGUUGUGAAAUGUUGGGUUAAGUCCCGCAACGAGCGCAACCCUUAUCCUUUGUUGCCAGCGGUUAGGCCGGGAACUCAAAGGAGACUGCCAGUGAUAAACUGGAGGAAGGUGGGGAUGACGUCAAGUCAUCAUGGCCCUUACGACCAGGGCUACACACGUGCUACAAUGGCAUAUACAAAGAGAAGCGACCUCGCGAGAGCAAGCGGACCUCAUAAAGUAUGUCGUAGUCCGGAUUGGAGUCUGCAACUCGACUCCAUGAAGUCGGAAUCGCUAGUAAUCGUAGAUCAGAAUGCUACGGUGAAAUACGUUCCCGGGCCU